CCCAAAAUUUUCUGUUUUGGUGAAAUAUCUGAAAAUUGCCUCAAAGCUUCAACUUUCCAGGUUGGUUUAGAGCUAUGUGCUCUCAAGUUACAGUUUCAGACAAGCAUGUGAGGAGUCUCAGCAAUGGAAUUCAGUUUCCACUCACUUCAUCAGUAAAAUGUAAAACAGCACCCUAAGUGGUGACAGUGCCUCUUGUUAACAGUCUCAACCCCCUACUUAAUUCUUACUUGUGAGACUGUUCACAUGAGCAAGCCUCUGUGCAUUCAAAUGCAAAUAAGCUCCAAUGCACAGGAAUACACAUUAAGGGGAUAGAGGUACAGACAACAAAGGGUAGUUGUCUCCAUGAGGAAACUUUCGGCGACUUCAGAAGAUGAAGCACACUGAGUACCAUCUCGGCGGUGAUUCAGAUUCUAGCUGGCGGGAAGGCAUUUCAGGGAGAUUAAUCGCUUGAAGAAGAGGAGCUGAAUGGAUCCAAUAUGAUCCGGCUGAAAAUGGUGCACCAGCAGAAGAGGCAGAGGAAGAGUCAGCAAAACCUGCAGGUCCUCUGGCACCUCCACCUCCUUCUCCCGAAGAAGCUCCCCAUCUGCCACAGGUAGCAGAUGCAGUGAUGCAGACGAAGGACAACCUGCUACAUCACAUAAUGAGGGAGCUGCAGGAGAUCAAGGACCUUAUCCAAAAUUUGAGGGGAAACCCUUCUCCUCCAGCAACAUUUUACAUUUUUCUGCACUGUUGUGCUAUGUAUUGUUUUUAUAGUAAACAUUUGUUCAAACCUCUACAUUUGGAGAUUGUUUUUCAUUUAACUACUAAUCAGAUAGUAAACAUUUGUUCAAACCUCUA